rnacentral:rRNA from 1 species
UUAAUUGAAGAGUUUGAUCAUGGCUCAGAUUGAACGCUGGCGGCAGGCCUAACACAUGCAAGUCGAGCGGCAGCGGAAGGGAGCUUGCUCCCUUGCCGGCGAGCGGCGGACGGGUGAGUAAUGUCUGGGGAUCUGCCCGAUGGAGGGGGAUAACUACUGGAAACGGUAGCUAAUACCGCAUAACGUCGCAAGACCAAAGUGGGGGACCUUAGGGCCUCACACCAUCGGAUGAACCCAGAUGGGAUUAGCUAGUAGGCGGGGUAAGAGCCCACCUAGGCGACGAUCUCUAGCUGGUCUGAGAGGAUGACCAGCCACACUGGAACUGAGACACGGUCCA